AGGAGCUCCCGAGGGGGAGGGGAGGAAGAGGGCGAACGGUCAAGUCAAGUCAACCAGCACUUAAUGAAGCGCCUGCUGGGUGCCGAUGGUGGUCUUUUCAGUGGUGCCUGACGCUUCGCGACCCUGUACAGGGUUUUCUUGGCAGGGACACUGGAGAGGUUUGCCAUUUCCUUCUCCAGUGGAUGAAGGCAAACAGAGUGCGGAGAGAAAGAAAGAUGUCUUGGACGGCUCGUCUACCAUUGCUUCCAAUUCUCAGCAGCCCAAGCACCACCAUGGAAGCAGUGCUGUAAACAGCCUGAGUCUCAGAAGCAGCCUGAAAACCAUGUGCUUUGCUCAAACCUGGCCUGCCCACAUGGCCCUAAGAGGGAAAAAAGUUCAUGAAAGCUCUCCUUAUGUCUCUUUUCUCCCAGAGAUCUCCAAACGAUGCUUGGUUCUUUAGAGAUGGCAAACCCAGCCAUUUGGUGAUGGCUCCUUGCUGGAAGGAUCUGGCGCUGGUAUGAAGAAGCAAACCCUCUCCCUCUAACCCCAUGAUAGCAGCACAAGGCACAAAGUCAGUUAAAACAGAUGACUUCCAGCGGCCUCUUCUUCUCUAUGCCCUCCCGUGAAAGGGUGUUGGGUGGGGAAGGGGGGGCAGAGGAGAAGCUGCCCCUCCUCCCACCUCAGCAGAAAGGGUGAUUGGUCAUGCAUGGUAGCUAAAGUCCACGUCUUGAUUAGGUAAGCCUGAUCCUAGUUCCAGGGCUGCCUCUACUCUGCUCUUUCCUGACAUUAGGUGAAUCAGUAUUGAUCCCAUUCAUGUGAGUUUGGGCUUAGAGGCCACCUUGUGAGUUCAAAAGUUUCAACAGUCCUGAGUCCUUUAGUCAGAGCUGACUCAUCAGAAUCAGGAGGAGAGUACAGAGUCAAAAUGAAAUAUAAAAUGCCUUUUCAGCAGCCACACAAACUGUUUUAUGUUCUGAUGAUGUUUAAUGUAUCAGCUUCCUAGAAGAUUGCUAUUCUAUACUGUUGUAAGUUAAGUUACUGAAUCCUAUUUUUGUCUUUCUAUCAAUGCAAUGCUUGUGAGUAUUUUGUGUUUGGCAUUUCUUUUGUGUGCAGGAAAUAAAUGUGUGUCUCCUACAUGA